rnacentral:rRNA from 1 species
ACGCUGGCGGCAGGCCUAACACAUGCAAGUCGAGCGGCAGCACGGGUACUUGUACCUGGUGGCGAGCGGCGGACGGGUGAGUAAUGCCUAGGAAUCUGCCUGGUAGUGGGGGAUAACGCUCGGAAACGGACGCUAAUACCGCAUACGUCCUACGGGAGAAAGCAGGGGACCUUCGGGCCUCGCGCUAUCAGAUGAGCCUAGGUCGGAUUAGCUAGUUGGUGGGGUAAUGGCUCACCAAGGCGACGAUCCGUAACUGGUCUGAGAGGAUGAUCAGUCACACUGGAACUGAGACACGGUCCAGACUCCUACGGGAGGCAGCAGUGGGGAAUAUUGGACAAUGGGCGAAAGCCUGAUCCAGCCAUGCCGCGUGUGUGAAGAAGGUCUUCGGAUUGUAAAGCACUUUAAGUUGGGAGGAAGGGCAGUUACCUAAUACGUAUCUGUUUUGACGUUACCGACAGAAUAAGCACCGGCUAACUCUGUGCCAGCAGCCGCGGUAAUACAGAGGGUGCAAGCGUUAAUCGGAAUUACUGGGCGUAAAGCGCGCGUAGGUGGUUUGUUAAGUUGAAUGUGAAAUCCCCGGGCUCAACCUGGGAACUGCAUGCAAAACUGGCAAGCAAGAGUAUGGUAGAGGGUGGUGGAAUUUCCUGUGUAGCGGUGAAAUGCGUAGAUAUAGGAAGGAACACCAGUGGCGAAGGCGACCACCUGGACUGAUACUGACACUGAGGUGCGAGAGCGUGGGGAGCAAAC